GACGAACGCUGGCGGCGUGCUUAACACAUGCAAGUCGAACGGAAAGGCCCUGCUUUUGUGGGGUGCUCGAGUGGCGAACGGGUGAGUAACACGUGAGUAACCUGCCCUUGACUUUGGGAUAACUUCAGGAAACUGGGGCUAAUACCGGAUAGGAGCUCCUGCUGCAUGGUGGGGGUUGGAAAGUUUCGGCGGUGUGGGAUGGACUCGCGGCUUAUCAGCUUGUUGGUGGGGUAGUGGCUUACCAAGGCUUUGACGGGUAGCCGGCCUGAGAGGGUGACCGGCCACAUUGGGACUGAGAUACGGCCCAGACUCCUACGGGAGGCAGCAGUGGGGAAUAUUGCACAAUGGGCGGAAGCCUGAUGCAGCAACGCCGCGUGCGGGAUGACGGCCUUCGGGUUGUAAACCGCUGUCGCCUGUGACGAAGCGUGAGUGACGGUAAUGGGUAAAGAAGCACCGGCUAACUACGUG
rnacentral:rRNA from 1 species